rnacentral:rRNA from 1 species
UACGGGGGGAGCAAGCGUUGUUCGGAUUUACUGGGCGUAAAGGGCGCGUAGGCGGCCACCGCAAGUCGGUUGUGAAAUCUCCGGGCUUAACCCGGAAAGGUCAAUCGAUACUGCGGGGCUAGAGUGCAGAAGGGGCAACUGGAAUUCUCGGUGUAGCGGUGAAAUGCGUAGAUAUCGAGAGGAACACCUGCGGCGAAGGCGGGUUGCUGGGCUGACACUGACGCUGAGGAGCGAAAGCGUGGGUAGCAAACAGG